AUUUUGAAAUCCUUUGUAAGGCAGUUGAUAUGAAAUUAAAAAAUAUUCACUUAACUGCAGAAGGAUUACAAAAAUUCAAAGAUCUUAAGAAUCCUCAGAGACUAAUACGUCGGACUCCGAUAUUAUCGGAGAAGAUAGAGUCCGAACUGUAUAGCGAUAUACAG
rnacentral:autocatalytically_spliced_intron from 2 species